GACGAGGUGGUGCAUGGGUUGUCGGUCAGCUCGUGUCGUGAGAUGUUGGGUUAAGUCCCGCAACGAGCGCAACCCUCGCCUCUAGUUGCCAGCAUUCGGUUGGGCACUCUAGAGGGACUGCCGGCGACAAGUCGGAGGAAGGUGGGGAUGACGUCAAAUCAUCAUGCCCCUUAUGACCUGGGCUACACACGUGCUACAAUGGGCGGUACAAAGGGCUGCGAACCCGCGAGGGGAGCGAAUCCCAAAAAGCCGCUCUCAGUUCGGAUUGCAGGCUGCAACUCGCCUGCAUGAAGCCGGAAUCGCUAGUAAUCGCGGAUCAGCAUGCCGCGGUGAAUACGUUCCCGGGCCUU
rnacentral:rRNA from 1 species